UGGGGAAUAUUGCACAAUGGGGGAAACCCUGAUGCAGCAACGCCGCGUGAAGGAUGAAGGUUUUCGGAUUGUAAACUUCUUUGACGAGGGACGAAUAAUGACGGUACCUCGAAAACAAGCCACGGCUAACUACGUGCCAGCAGCCGCGGUAAUACGUAGGUGGCAAGCGUUGUCCGGAUUUACUGGGUGUAAAGGGCGAGUAGGCGGGACUGUAAGUCAGUAGUGAAAUGCGGAGGCUCAACCUCCGAGCUGCUAUUGAAACUGCAGUUCUUGAGUGAUGGAGAGGUAAGUGGAAUUCCCGGUGUAGCGGUGAAAUGCGUAGAGAUCGGGAGGAACACCAGUGGCGAAGGCGACUUACUGGACAUUAACUGACGCUGAGGCGCGAAAGCGUGGGGAGCAAACA
rnacentral:rRNA from 1 species